GAAAUUUCAUAUUAUUAAGCUGCCUCAAUCAUAUGAUUACUAUUUUUACUAUCUUAUGUUUUUUCUUUUCUUUUUUUUUAUUAUCUUAUAUUCAGUAAGGUUCAUUAUAUUUCAUGAUUGUCACAAACUUGCAAAAGAAAAAGACCCCAACCCUCUCUGUGUGGAUGCUACUUAUGUUUCUGUGUGUGUAGUUUGUGAAGUGCAUCAUUUAUGUGUGUGAAUUUGUG
rnacentral:lncRNA from 1 species